rnacentral:rRNA from 1 species
GACAGAGGGUGCAAACGUUGUUCGGAAUUACUGGGCGUAAAGCGCGUGUAGGCGGUCGGGCAAGUCGGAUGUGAAAGCCCAGGGCUCAACCCUGGAAGUGCACUCGAUACUGCUCGGCUAGAGUCCCGGAGAGGAUGGUGGAACUCUCGGUGUAGAGGUGAAAUUCGUAGAUAUCGAGAAGAACACCGGUGGCGAAGGCGGCCAUCUGGACGGUGACUGACGCUGAGACGCGAAAGCGUGGGGGAGCAAACAGG